AAAGGGGGAGGAACACAGAACAGAACCCACCUGGAGGAUGUGUCCAAAACAGAACCUUAGGCGGCUAAUUUUCUUUCCUGUAGGGCCUUACCACCACGCGUCCCAGUUGGCACUUUAAAAACACACACAAGAAGGUUCUGACCUCCUGAAAGCUCAACAGGCGUUUGCAGUCACCAGCCACUCCAAGACAAACACAGGAGAGUGCAUUCGCUAUCUCUACUUGAGCAAAGUUGGUUCUGAUGGGAGAAAACAUCCUUAACACGAGUUCUCAAGCCAGGCCACAAAGAAGAAAAAUCUCAAUAAAGAGGACACAGUAAAGAAGGAGACGCCUCCUUGCAACAAACUCAUUGACUGACAGUAA